AGUAUAUAUACAUGCUUUAUGAGAUUGCUGAAGCAAAUUCUGAUGAUUUGUAGGGUAAUGAAGUGGGCAUGCUCAUCUCCUAAUACCCUUUGCGGCUACUCAAUGGCAUAGCACGUGGAGAACUUAGAAGAGGAGUUAGAAUAAGAUUCGUUUUAGGGGUCAUUUGAUCCUUAAGCUUUGGCUUUCACUGAACUUUCAUGUGGCCCAAUCAGAUCUCUUGCUCUCUCUCAUGCAUCAAUGCAUGCUGUGGAGCACCUAAAGAAGUGUCAAAGUUCAUAAACCAUGAACACUUUCAGUGUGAAAUUCCGUUAUUCUGAGCCUCAGCUUCUUUAUAUUGUCCUGGCGAAAAUAAAGGGUGCAAAAUCAUGGCCUGAUAGACUCUGAAGCAGACAGACGCCCCCAAACUCAGUAACUAGGGUCCAGCAGUGCUCAGGCUAGAAACUUGGGUUGCUAACUCUACUAGGCAUUGCAUUCUCGAAGCAAGCAACAAGCGACUAUUUAUUCUUCUGGACUGCCUUUCUGCAGCUAUCUUUAGCUGCCACAAUAGAAUGUUCCUGUCUUUACAGAAGGUCACUAGGGGUAA
rnacentral:lncRNA from 1 species